UUUUACUAGGUUGGUGCAAAAGUAAUUGAGGUUUUUGCAGUUACUUUUAAUGGCAAAAACUGUGAUUACUUUUGCACCAACCUAAUAAAUGU
ensembl:miRNA